UGCGUACUUGGUGUCUGAGACUUUCUGAGGCCUGUCUAGGAAAUUCUCCUCCAGGCGAAGCCUGGUGAAGGGUUUUUACAGGAUUGCUGGGCUGCUGGCUUCGCAGAGAUCCUUUCAUUUUUAGCCGGUAUUUUUAAACAUGGAGAGAACAAGCGAUGCAUAACAAUCUGUAAGAUGUGGUCCUCAUCAUUAUGGUCUAAAAUGAACUCCAGGCAUCACAUCCAUCUGCCAAGUAGGAUGAUGGAGAAAAGGGAAGAAGAGACAAAAGACACAUUGAAGGUAUAUCAUAAAUUUCCUAGAAGCUGCCACACACUAAUUCUACUCACUCUGUUGGCCAGAACUGAAUUGUAUGGUUAUGUCUAGUUCCAAGGGAUGCUGGGAAAUAUUUUUAUUUAAGAUAAAAAUUCUAAAGACUAUAAGGAUUUUAUUCCAAGUCAAGAUUCUAAAAUGGUGAUAAUAGACGUAUUGGGAUUAGCAACCAGUGGUCUCUGACGCAGGUAUGUUUGUAAGGAGGUGAGGGCAUGUGUUUUCUUUUGUAGCUCUCAGCUGCUAGUGCAGAAAGGAGAAGGAGCAGUUGAAUGGAAUAUGGUGCAGGGGAUUGAGGGGCUGCAGAAGAAUAGGAGUGCCAGGCAUGGAGGGUGUGGGAGAGAGAACAGUUUAAGUCUGGUUGGAAAGGAAAGAAGGCUGCAUAGAGGACGAUAGACUGGGAGAAAUAAGAGGCAUCAAGGGAUUCGUGGUCUUAGGCUGAAACAUAGAUGCACAGCUAGAUGGCUGGGAGGCAGUGUCUGAAAAUGGCAUGUUUGGCAGUGAUCAGAUGAACAGUGUGGAUGUAGCAGUGAGUGAUUGAUGUGGAAGGGUGAUGAGGAUCAUUCAAUGCAAGGAAGGUAACAUUUGGCAUUGGAGGGUUCUCCCCCUGCACACUGACCUGCUCCAGGAGGAUGGCAGGAGUAGGGAGACAGAGAAAUUCAGGGAAGUUGGUGUAGUUAGAUAGCUUGAACCCCAAAGGAAUUACACAGGAGGAGAGUAUUGGUUUUGAAACACAUAGGAAUGUGAGGACUCUGAUCCCACCUCCUGGCUUCAUCUGCUGAACCAGGUAGAUAUGUAGACAUGAGAGAACAAGAAAUCAUCCCUCAGGAUGGCUGUAGAAGGUGCUUGUGGUCAGGGAUAAAUAGGUCUCAGGGGGGUCCAAGAAGAGAAGAGAACCUUAUGUGAUGAGGUGUAGGAUGAAGGGGAUUGAUUUGCCCUGGGAUAAAGGAUUCUAGUGGGCAUAGAGGAUUUGCAGGAAAGAGGAGCAGCUAGUGUUUGGGAGAAGAUACAUAGGACAGUAUGGGCUUGAGAAUGUGAGAACAAAUGAGAAGGUUUACAGUUUGGACAGUGAUGUAAAGUUUAAAGGAUGUAACAUUUGGGCAUGGGGAGUCCACACAGAUCUCUGGGGCCAAGUUGUCUUGGAGAAGUUCCAAGAUGUGGGUCCAGAGUGAUUUGGGCUAGUACAAGGCUCCUGGCUGUGGGUCAGCCCAAGGAUGGGCUCUGAGUGGUUACAGACCACACAGGAAUUUCCAACAACCUAAAUGUGGAACAGCUGCAGGUCAAAAAGAGAUCCAUUCCUUCCUUGGAAGUCUCCCUUGCCUAGCUUCCAAGGCUUCUGGGAUAAAGUUUGAGCCCAGAAACAACCAUCACUCACCCUGCCAGAUAACUCUGGCUGCCCAAUAGUGCUGAGAAUCAUGCUCUUCUAACAUCUAAUUUGAUUUAAAAUCUUUUAUGUUUGAGGUGAACUUUUUCUCUGUUGACAAUGGGCUGGGUUUAGCCUAUUCAUUAGGGGUGGAACUCCUAGCUUGUGGUAAAUCCUGAUUGGAAAACAAUAUAAACACAUUUCCUGGUAAAUGUAUAAAUAUAUAUAGAUGUUGGUUGUUCCCCUCCCCACCACUAAUAUACACUGUAGAAGCAAUUUGAAGCAAUUUAGAUGUGCUCAGCAUCUGGCCAUCAUAAAAGGUUUCGAGUGAGUCAUGAUUUUGCAUCAACAGAGAGGGUUUGUCUUUCUUGUGGAGAGAAUUGUAUUCACCUCUCCUUCUGCCUGUGAGCUUCUCUAUUACUUUAUGAUGAUCAGUCUGAUUUGUGUGUAAAGAGACUGGUGAGAUAAGAAUUUGGGGAAGGGAAGCAAGGAGAAGAGGAGGAGCACCCAGACAGCUACAUAUUCAAGGCAAAAUAGAUUUGGGGAGAAUUACCUGUUUUUGCUUUUGAGAAGCAAGCAAGCAAGAAAGAAAGAAAGAAAGAAAGGAAGGAAGAAAGAGAGAGAAAUGAAGGAAGAAGGAAAGAGAAAGAAAGAAAAGAAGGAAUGAAGGAAGGAAGGAAGGAAGAAAAGAAAGAAAAGAAAGAAAAGAAAGAAAGAAAGAGUGAAAAAAGUGUCAUUUUGUGAGUUAGGAGAUGACCUCUGCUCCUAGCUGUCGGCUACUCAAUCUCUUGGCUCCUCAGUUUGCUCAUCUGACAAGUGGGCCCCUUAACGGUUGCCCUAUCCAGUUGAGAGGAAAGGAGAGCUCUUGCUUGACAGCUCUGUUGGGUGCCAGCUGGGCUGUGGGCUCCUUAGAUCUGCCAUCUCAUUUAAUGCCCAAGACAAUCCCAUGAGGGAAGUGGCAUUAAGCUCUUCUUCAGCUGAAAGAACUGAAACAUGGAGAGUCAAAGUGGCUUGUCCAAGAUCAUAAAGCUUAUCAGGACUCAAACCCACAUCUGUCUGGCUUCAAAUCCUGCAUUCUUCCUAUUACUUCAUGCUAACAAUGAGGUCAUAGAACACAUUCUAGUCUCCUCCUUGGAAGGGAAAAAGCACAAAGUGGCUUCCCUGCUGUAAGGCCCAAGAUGUUCCUGCGUCCUUGGUCCCCACAGAGAGCCCAACUAAGCCCAGUUCUGUUUCCUCAGAGCCCUGCUUUCUGCUGUGGGAGCAGCCCAGGCUAACCAUAAGCUCCUAUGCGGAGUGGGAGUAAGCAGGAUGCAGUCCUCCAUAUCUCUUCGAGAAACUGCACAGAACACCAUGGAAGGCACUCAGUGAGUAGUUCCGGAAGGAAAGACCUGGCCUGAAUUGAGUGCUCAGUAAAUUUUGGUUGAAUGAAUGAAUGAAUGUGCAUGGUUUUGAAACCCCGGGCAGAUGUUAGGACGCUCCCCAGGAAUGCUGGUUGUGUGUGGGGGCAGAGGAUAGUUUCUUAAAACUCCAUUGUGCCUAAACUCCAGGCUGCCUAGAUGCUAAAAUAACUUAGGCUGCAGGGUCAGGCCUGCCCAUCCUGUACUUACCCCACCAGCCCAGCCCUCUUCCCAGGGCCUGGAGCUGAACAAGAUGAAGACUGGCUUUAUCCAGCCAGUAAAUUUCAUGUAUUCAAAAAAAAAAAAAAAAAAAAAAAAGAAUCCAGAAACUUUGAUAGACCUUUAUAUUAAUGUUACAUUUAUUACUCCCACCUCCAAAGUGGCCCAGAACCCUACUUCUGUAGAUAUCUUCAGUUUGACCAACAUGAGCAAGCUAGCUUUCUUGUGUGUGUGUGUCACUUUGUACAAAAAACUCAAGGCUUUAAUAACAGAACAAAGUUGUGAUAGGCAUGUUGACUGGCUGGUUUUAUCGAAGUGAACCUUACAGAAGUGGGUUAAAAAGGUCUUCAGCAGUCGCUUCCUGUCCCACUUAGUAAAUAUUCCUUCCCUGUCCUAGCAGCUGUCUCCGAGAAACUCUUAUUGUGAUGGAGUUGUUUUCCCAAACUUGGAAAAGCCAAGGGCUGUAGGUGGCCCCAUGGUCUUUCAACCUCUAACCAAGCCUGGAGGAUCCAAAUAAAAAAUUUCUGGGCCUUAAAACCAAAUUGUACUCUGACUCAAACCAGAACCUGUCCACAGGUUCAGCUCCCCCUGUGGCAGUGACCCUUGUUCUGCAACGGAAGUGGGGGUGGAGGUUGAGGGACCUCAGUUUAGUUCCCGCAGACAGAGUGGCGGCCCUCAUCCCAGGUGGCUUUUGAUUGAAAGAGGCCCAUGUGGAGCUUCCUCUGUCCCUCCUAAGGUAGUCGGGGUUUUUUUGUUGUCACAAACUCGGAGUUUGAAACCUUGUUUCCAAGCAGUGGCUCUGCUAAAAGUGACCUUGUGCCAGGAAAACCUCCCUGUGUCUUGAUUUGUGCUUCUUUAUGGUGAGGGAUUUAGAGUUGCUGAGUGAUUUUCAAACAUUUCCCCCUAGUAGCAAGACUCUUUGUACAAAGGAAAUCUGUCUGCAUGCCCGAUAUGGAAGAGGUAGAGCUGCUCUGUUUACUUUGAAGGUGGACUUUCUCUUCCUCUGUGUGGCCAUACUAGAUGUAGCUCUAAACUUCUGUGUUUUAAUUUUUUCCCCCUAAGUUGGAUAACAUAUUAAUAGGACAGGGGGAGAAGGACCAGAAAGACGUUAAGAUGUGAAAGGGACCGAAUUAACAGAUCACAGGCUAUGCUUUUCCACAUCGAAAAGGAAGAUAAAAGGUAUUAUAGAAGAUGUUAGUAAAUUGUUUCUCUGAAAAGCCUUACAGAUCAUGGCAUGAAAUUACAUUAAGUUGUAUAUGUGCCAUCUUCAAAAGAAUAACGUUAUAGCACCAUCAGUGGACGCUGUUUUGGCUGUGUGAACCUUGUAGGUAAGAGGAGAUGGACAUUCACAGGCCUGGCUUUUCCUACUCAUGUAAAUAGUAUGAGUUUUCACUGUUAAAACAGUUCAUUUCAUUGCUAUCUUAUUUCUGUCACAGGCCCUGAGAGCUUGGUUGGGCCAAGGGUCACUCAGAAAAUAACCAGCUUCCACUUUUUUAAUUAUGCAAACUAGAGCUAGAUGACUGAGAUCUUGCCUUUGGUCUGCAAGACAUAGGGAGUUUUGCAAGCCCUAGGGGAGUGCAGAAUUUCCUGAAGAUGUUGCAAGGUGGCCGGCUUUCUUCUGAAGUCAUGCAAUAUUCUCCUUUGCUUUGGUUAUGACUGCAGAGGUGCUGGGAAGCCAAAUGAAAACUGGCACCUUGGAGCGGGCUUCUCUCCACAGGCCCCUGAGGUGAGGUCUGCUCCCUUAGAGGGAAAGGUGUCCCUGCUCUCAUCUAAAGGUGUUUGGUCCAACUCCACCUCUCAGUUACUUCAUUGGCAGUUUUCCAAACCAAAAAUAUUUUUGCAGAGGGAAGGGCAUGCAAAGGCUUGAAAAUUUAGAGAGCAGAGAGCUAGAUGGCCCAGAUUUAUGAAAGUUCCUAUUCUGCUAGUUUAAAUUGGAAAAGGAUCUGGGAAUUCCCAGAGAAAGAGAGCUUCAUUGAGAAAGAACAAAUUUCAUCAGAGAAUUUUAUCACCAGCCACAUGGGGCAUCCUGAUGCAGUCACUGCCCCACACCUCUUAGCUGCCAUGAGAGGAAGACCUGGGCUGCAGACGCCCCAGAAGCUAGGCCCAACCUCACUCAAGCCUCCUGGGCACAUUGCAGAGGAAAGUCACCCCUGUUCCCCCACUCUACCCACAUCCCAGUAGAGGUGAGCUUCUAGACAUCCUUACUCUUCUUUUUUCUACCAGCGCAUAAAAUACGCAGUUAUUAAAGAUUUUCAUAUUUUAGAAUAAUAUCACUUACCUUGGUCUUGGUAAAUCUUCAGCGAAUCACUCCUCUUUGCUAAGGAGUAGGAAGACCAGCUAGUUUAUUUUAUCAUGCCUAUAAGCAGAAGAUGCCAAAUAAUGCCAUACAGAGACUCCACUAAGUACAUUAAGUUUGGUGGGGUUUUUAAGUGUUUGAGAAUCUCAUGGGAAUGAAAUGAUUCAAAGGACAAAAUUUAAAAAACACAUAAAGUCAUCAUUCUCUGAAAAUAAUAGCAUACGAAUUAGUUCCUGAAGCAUUUAAAUAGAAAGUGAAACUGAAUCACAGUUUAUUUUUCAUAGUAAAGCUAUUUAGAAUGCAAGUCCUCUUCCCUGAAAGAGCAACAGGGUUUUUGUAAAACAUUUCUUCCUGUUCUCUGAAAUUAGGAGUUCACAAGAAGACCUGGGGGUUAUGCUUUUUGAAGGUAACACUUUACUUCAACAAUGAAGAAUGCCACAUGGAAAUCAAGGAGUGGUGUUCUGGAGAGGAGACGUGUACCUCCUGAGUCAGCAGAGCAUAUGACUGAACCGCAGUUUGGGUCAGACACCCAAGGCCAGGGAAGCAGCUGCUCAGUCCUGUGUACACCGCAAGCUGAGCAAAUGGUGAUAUCUGUGUCAGAGGGGUCUCACGAUACCGUUGAGAGUCAGCUUGGGUGAGCUGGAGCUCAGUAUAUAUAUCAAGGGCCUCGAGAAAGUAUAGGAAGAGUUGGGAAGACUAGCUAUGUAAAGGGGGUGGGAAAGAAUCUUUCUCAAGAAAAUUGAUUUUGUAGGUUUUUCAUUUGUAGGGUGGCAAGGUCCCUUUCCCUCCCAUCUGCUUGAAAAUACUUUACUGUCCCAGUAGAGUUCUAGUCCAGACCCUGGUUGACCCCAUCUUCUUAAUCAUGCUUGCUGUUUUUCUGUUUUCUCCAACUUCAGACUUCUGUGUCUUAAAAAAGAAUACAUGGUGGGUCUUACCUGCCUCUGGGCCUUUCCUCUUGAGGCUGCCCCUGCCUGGGUCAUACCUUUGCCUUCCUAUCCCCCUAUUUCCACUUCUUACCCCCAUCCAUCCUUCCAUGCCAUCACAGAUGUUCCACUUAUUUCUGACCACCUCACCGUACCCUGUACUUUUAAGUGGUGUGACCAAAAAAUCUAAUGUCCAAAUCAGAAUACUUUUGGAAGUAAAAGGGAUGCUUGUAAUCAAUGAUGCUGAGAUAAUAAAGUAGGGACUAUCCCAAGCAAACCAGGAUGGAUGUUCCUCUUCAACGCAUUUACCCUUGUCAUGUCUCCUUCCCAUAGGAAGGUUGACGAUUCUGAGGGCGAUGACUGCCUUGUUUUUGCAUCCCUUCUCAUGUCCAGCCAGUACUUUUUUUUAUAUAUAAAAUAAACUUUUUAUUUUGAAAUAAUUACAGAUUUAUAUAAAGCUGUGGAGAAAUACAGAGUUCCUGCAUACCCCUUACCCAAUUUCCCCCAUUAUUUACAUUUUGCACUUCCAUGAUACAUUUAUUAAAACUAAGGAACUGUAUUGGUUUAUUAUUAUUAACUAACGUCCAGACCAGUUUUUCUAUUAAUGUCCUCUUCCUGUUCUGAUCCAGACUAGAAUACCAUACUGUGUUUAGUUUACAUGUCUCCCCGGGUCAGUCUUUCCUUGUUUUCAUGACUUUGUGCCAUAAGAGGUACUAUCCAAAUUUCAUGAAGAAAUGUGACCAAACUGGAUUUGUCUGUUUUUGUGUAAUUAGGCCCAGGUUAUGGUUUUGGGGAAGAAUACCGUAGAAGUGAAGUCCUUUCUCAUCACACAUAUCAGGGGGCACAUGAUAGCACUGGGGAUAUGAACUUCAUCACUUGGUUAAUGUGUUGUGUUUCCUUUCCCUAUUCUGUGGAAGCGGGUCACUAAGUUUAAACCACUCUCAAAGGGUGGACUAACUCCACAUCCUAUAAGGAGUACUAUCUACAAACAGUAUUAUUCAUUGAUUUAUUUUAAAACUGAUAAUUAUUUUCUGACCUUAUUUCCAUUUUCUGUUUAAAAGCCUGUGGACGAACAGCUUAAAAUCACCCAGGGUUUUUCCUACCCACUCAGUGGCCUGAGCAGUGGGAGCUGCAGACCAGCCUGCUGUGGAGGGCCAUGCAUGCCUUUCUUCAGUAGGAAGCACUUGUUUGCUUUCCAGUACUACAAGAUGCUCCAGGCUUGUCUUGUAUUUUUCCUACCCCAGCCUUAGAACCAGCCAAUUUCCCAAGGAGGCUUGUAUCCUUUUAUUGGAAAAUGACAUUUAGAAACAAAGAUGUAGCACAGUUCUUUGAGCUGAACUGAAAUCUGCUCUGGUCCUCCUGAACUAACUUCAAUCUGGCAGGAGUGUGUGAGAGGCACAUGCAAUAGCCCCAGAGCUGUGUGGUGACCGGGUGACAGAGGUGGUUGUGGUCCAUUUGGGCAUUAAUCCAUUUUGCUUCCUAAUGAGUGAGUAGUGAGCUACUGUGUCCUUACUUGAGGGCCCUACCCCUGCAGGGUGUGAGAGAAAACUAAAGAGGUGUCUCUGGGCCCAGAGUGGGGGCAGUGGGAUACAGCAGCUUCUUCCCCUCUAUACCCUGGUCAUUAGUAGGACAGAUGGAGGGGCCCUUCUUUAUCUGUGAUUGUUAACAAUUUUGUUUAAAAUUUUUUGAGGUAUAAUUGACCUGUACCACUUUAUGAAUUUCAGGUGUACCACAUCAUUUGAUAUUUGUGUAUGUUGUGAAGUGAUCACCACAGUAAGUCUAGUUGACAUCUGUCACCACACCUGGCCCAGAUUUACGUUUUUUUUUCUUGUGAUGAGCACUUUUAAGAUCUACUCUCAGCAAACUUCAAAUGGGCAAUACAGUAUUAUUAACUAUAGUCCCCAUGCUGUACAUUAUAUUCCCAGGACUUAAUUACUUUAUAACUAGAAGUUGGUGCCUUUUGUCUCCUUUGACUCAUUUCACCACCAACCCUCCCCAUGCCCCACCAUUCUUGAAACCACCAAUCUGUUCUCUGUAUCUUUGAGCUUGGUUUUUAAAUAUUUUAAAAUUUUUAUUUGUAGAUUACACAUACAAGUAAGAUCAUAUGAUAUUUGUAUUCUUCCAUCUGACUUAUUUCACUUAGUAUAAUGCCCUAAAGGCCCGUCCAUAUUGUUGCAAGUACCAAGAUUUCCUUCCUUUUUAUGGCUGAGUAAUAUUCCAUUGACUAUAUAUGCCACAUUUUUUUUUCAAUAUAUGCAAUUUAUUGUCAAAUUGGUUUCCAUACAAC